GUGGGGAAUUUUGGACAAUGGGCGAAAGCCUGAUCCAGCAAUGCCGCGUGUGUGAUGAAGGCCUUCGGGUUGUAAAGCACUUUUGGCGGGAACGAAAAGGACUGUGCCAAUACCACGGUUCGAUGACGGUACCCGCAGAAUAAGCACCGGCUAACUACGUGCCAGCAGCCGCGGUAAUACGUAGGGUGCAAGCGUUAAUCGGAAUUACUGGGCGUAAAGAGUGCGCAGGCGGUUUUGCAAGACCGAUGUGAAAUCCCCGGGCUUAACCUGGGAACUGCAUUGGUGACUGCAAGGCUAGAGUGUGUCAGAGGGAGGUGGAAUUCCGCAUGUAGCAGUGAAAUGCGUAGAUAUGCGGAGGAACACCGAUGGCGAAGGCAGCCUCCUGGGAUAACACUGACGCUCAUGCACGAAAGCGUGGGGAGCAAACAGG
rnacentral:rRNA from 1 species